rnacentral:piRNA from 1 species
UGUCCUAAGAACAAAAGCAAAACUCAAGGAA